CAUCUUUACCUAAUUGAAGUUUUCUAUCUUUGAUUGAUUUAAUAGCAUUCCAUAUCAUCUAGUACAAUUGUCUCUAAAAAGGAUAUUGUGUUUUGAAGGCUGACUGACUUUAGUUGGUAUGCAAGGAUAAUAGGAUAUCACACCUAGAACAAUGGCUGGGUUACUUGGGGGAAGAUUGAGAAAACAGAACGUAAGGUGAUUUUCCGCCUCCUAAUCCAUGCUACACAUGCUGAUGGAAGUUACCUAUUUAGCUCAGACAUUAUUCCGAAGCUUUGUUAAUUAGCUCAAGAACAUGUCAAGAGCAUGAGAGAAUGAUAAUGUCAAUGAAGGAGGGGAUAGUAACAACAAUUUAGAGAUUUGGAAAGUUUUAGAUUCAUUAUCAUCUUAUUAUUUUUAGGUACCGGAUAGUUUUACUUUGAUUUGUUCAGUUAUUUGCAAAGUAUAUUUAUGUAUUUUUAAGAGUACUUUUCUAUUGAAUGAGACAUUAUUAUGUUGAUCAAAAUUUGCAAA